rnacentral:rRNA from 1 species
AACGAACGCUGGCGGCAUGCCUAACACAUGCAAGUCGAACGAGGCCUUCGGGUCUAGUGGCGCACGGGUGCGUAACGCGUGGGAACCUGCCCUUAGGUUCGGAAUAACUCCCCGAAAGGGGUGCUAAUACCGGAUAAUGUCUUCGGACCAAAGAUUUAUCGCCUUUGGAUGGGCCCGCGUUGGAUUAGCUAGUUGGUAGGGUAAAAGCCUACCAAGGCGACGAUCCAUAGCUGGUCUGAGAGGAUGAUCAGCCACACUGGGACUGAGACCCGGCCCAGACUCCUACGGGAGGCAGCAGUGGGGAAUAUUGGACAAUGGGCGAAAGCCUGAUCCAGCAAUGCCGCGUGAGUGAUGAAGGCCUUAGGGUUGUAAAGCUCUUUUACCCGGGAUGAUAAUGACAGUACCGGGAGAAUAAGCUCCGGCUAACUCCGUG